AAAGCUUCAAACAGGAACAGUCUUCCCCCAUCAGUGCAUUCGCAUCGGCAAUGUUGAAAUGCCAAGCGUGAUUCUGGAGGACACAGCCUAUUCCUUGCUCCCCUAGCUCCUGAAGCCAUACACCCUGAGAGCAUCAAAGACAGAUUCAGCUGACAGCUGAGCAGACGCUUUGCAAAGACUUCUUGCCGGCAACUCCGACAGAGGGGUAGGAGGGUGGGUAAUGGAAUGGACAUGAGCAACACACCUCGAAGAACAACAGUUACGAAAGACAGAUGAGUCACAAGCAAUAUCCCUGGAGGUGGGCUCAGAGUUCAUGGUUGUGCAGCUUCCAAUACUGCUCUACCGAAGCCAGCAUCAUCUCAGGCCUGCUGGACCCAGAUUGUGACAGGUGGAACGUACCAGAUCGAGGUUUCUUUGCACCUGGUCCCAAGAUUGUCCCUUGAUAAGCCAGUUGUCGAGGUACGGCUAGACCCGAAACCCUUGAUGCCUCAGGCACUUUGUCGAGGAGGCCCCCAGGACUUAGGUGGUGGAGGGGGCCGGAAUUGUUUUCUCACCUUCUGUGGCAUGUGGAGGCCCAGCGAGUGCAGAGUGGCUCGAGAAUCUUUGAGGCCAUCCCUCAAAGACUCCCGUCAGCUCUGAGAAGAGCCCAGUGCCCUCAAAUGGAAGGUCCUGGAUGGAGGACUGCAUUUCCUGGGACAGACUCAAGGAUUUUAGCCAAGAGCUGUGCCCCAUUACCACAGCCGAGGCAACGACUCUGGCAGAUGAAUUGGCAGAGUUCCAGGCCAUCUGGAGGGAGCCUCUUGCCAUCGCCUUGCCCUCCUCCAGGAUUGUGGCAAACUCCUGGACGAGGUCCUGUGGCAAAGCCUCCUUAAACUUGCUGAGGGAGUCCCACAGAUUAAAGUUAUAUUUCCCCAACCAGGCUUGAUGGUUGAACACCCGGAACUGGAGACGGGCUG